rnacentral:rRNA from 1 species
GACGAACGCUGGCGGCGUGCCUAAUGCAUGCAAGUCGCACGCGCCACCUUCGGGUGGUGAGUGGCGCGCGGCUGAGGAUCACGUGGGAACAUGCCUCCUUGUGGGGGACAACAGCGCGAAAGCGGUGCUAAUCCCGCAUACGCUCGUCGUAAGGCGAGGAAAGCGGCAACGCGCAGGGAGAGUGGCCCGCGGCCCAUCAG